rnacentral:rRNA from 1 species
UACGUAGGGGGCGAGCGUUGUCCGGAUUCAUUGGGCGUAAAGCGCGCGUAGGCGGCCCCGCAAGUCUGCCGUGAAAUCUCCGGGCUCAACUCGGAGGGGUCGGGCGAGACUGCGGGGCUCGAGGUGGGCAGAGGGCAGUGGAAUUCCGGGUGUAGUGGUGGAAUGCGUAGAGAUCCGGAGGAACACCAGUGGCGAAGGCGGCUGCCUGGGCCUGGCCUGACGCUGAGGCGCGAAAGCGUGGGGAGCAAUCCGG